rnacentral:rRNA from 1 species
UCCUACGGGUGGCUGCAGUGGGGAAUCUUAGACAAUGGGGGAAACCCUGAUCUAGCCAUGCCGCGUGAGCGAUGAAGGCCUUAGGGUUGUAAAGCUCUUUCAGCUGGGAAGAUAAUGACGGUACCAGCAGAAGAAGCCCCGGCUAACUCCGUGCCAGCAGCCGCGGUAAUACGGAGGGGGCUAGCGUUGUUCGGAAUUACUGGGCGUAAAGCGCACGUAGGCGGAUUAUUAAGUCGGGGGUGAAAUCCCGGGGCUCAACCCCGGAACUGCCUUCGGUACUGGUAGUCUUGAGGUGGAGAGAGGUGAGUGGAAUUCCGGGUGUAGAGGUGAAAUUCGUAGAUAUUCGGAGGAACACCAGUGGCGAAGGCGGCUCACUGGCUCGAUACUGACGCUGAGGUGCGAAAGCGUGGGGAGCAAACAGGCUUAGAUACCCCGGUAGUCG